AGACCGGCUUGCAGCUGGCGAAAGAGGUUCUUUGCUUCCCACACAGUGCCCAGCUCUCUGGUCUCAGGACAGAGCAACUGGCUUUCUGGUACCCUCUUUUCCUCAGUGAGCAAACUUCUAUCUCUCUCUCAACUUCCUGGGCUAAAGGCAGGGAAGGACCCUAGGCUAAUCUCUAACUCCAGCAGCAGUUCUGGGGUCGGCUCUGAGAACAAAGAUAGCUAUGCUUGACAGCUGCCCUGCCCCAGCCAGCUAAGAAAAGCUGGGAAGACCUCCCAGAUAUCUCUAGUUCCCAGCAAAUAUCAGCGGGCAAACAACCAAAGUACAGCUGGGAAUUCCUGAUCUCAGCCAGCUGAACUGUGUUUGGAUCAAAGACAAACUUCAUCAACUCAUGGCCACCUCCAACCUCUCUAUGCACAUUAGGCAAUAGCAGCUGCAGAGAGCUGCCUUGAGGGGAGACCUUGAAGAGGUGGUUGUGCAGGUCUCCAAGGCCCUCCUAGCCCCACCACGCCCACCCUCACUAAGUCCACCCCAACUGCCUACAUCUUCCGAUGCUUGGAACAAGAAAGAGCAGUGCCGAUGAUGAUGGGGCUGGUGAGAUGGCUCAGUGGGUAA